GACGAACGCUGGCGGCGUGCUUAACACAUGCAAGUCGAACGGAAAGGCCCUGCUUUUGUGGGGUGCUCGAGUGGCGAACGGGUGAGUAACACGUGAGUAACCUGCCCUUGACUUUGGGAUAACUGCAGGAAACUGGGGCUAAUACCGGAUAGGAGCUCCUGCUGCAUGGUGGGGGUUGGAAAGUUUCGGCGGUUGGGGAUGGACUCGCGGCUUAUCAGCUUGGUGGUGGGGUAGUGGCUUACCAAGGCUUUGACGGGUAGCCGGCCUGAGAGGGGGACCGGCCACUUGGGGAUUGAGUUCCGGCCCCGCCUCUUCAGGGGGCCAGGGGGGGGGCAUCUUGCCAAAGGGGGGUAACCCUGAUGCACCACCGCGGGGGGCGGAGAGCCGGCGUCCGGGUUGCAACCCGUUUGCGCCUGUAAGACACCGUCGGUAAAGGUAGUGGGUAAAGAAGCACGGGCUAUCUACGU
rnacentral:rRNA from 1 species